CACUUAAGAGCUCAGACAGCAUCCAGCUUCAACUUCCUCCAAGGGCAAAAAGCUAUAAAAAGUCUUUUGAAGAGCAAUGGUUCAGUAAAGAGGGCUAUUAAGAACGAUAGACUGGAAAUAAAAGGGAUGAAAUGAAGAUUAUCUGGGAAAAUAUGCCACUUCCUGUUCCAUUAGGAAUUUCCUGAAAGCGCAGGCUGUCAGCCAGGGCUCGAGAGCACCAACUCCUCUACCACACGGUUUGCGCCUCGAUGUGCGUUCACUCAGGUGCUGUUGGAGGUAACUUUCCAUAGCAACCUUUAAGGUUACUGCGUGCACACUGCAUGCCAUGUGCUAUAUGUGCUGUGCUGCACACGUGUUCUCUCUGACCUCGGUCCUUCCAGCAGUCCUUUGAGGGAGUGUUGUCACGCCUGUGUUUGGGAUGAGGAAACAGGCGCAAAAUGAUUUGACCUUGACCCCACAGCUACCAACUGAGAGCUGGGUUCCUGAUCUGGGGACGCUGUCACCACGUGGUCUUUUCCAUCCAACAACAUCGGGGAUGUCUUUGUCCUCUCAGGUUAAACAAGGCCCUUGCUUGUCUGGGGUGAAUUGUUACCACUCAGGUAGUAGCAGUUGUCCUUACGGCCUGAGUGUGGUGCUGGCACUUUCUUUUCCUGCAUUUGCUAGUCCCUGGGAGGACGAUUGACGCCAUUGGGCAUUCCAGGUCACGCAAGUGUUCAGAAUCCUGUGGCACAGUUUAGAGUGUUAGCAAGGAGGCUGGCUAAGUAGGACAGCUGUGCUGUGUGCCAGUUCCUCUCCUUGGAAGUUCCAAAAUGAAGCCACUGUCCAUUCCCCCUGAGCCACUGAUUCGUAGCUGGACCCUCAGACACUAAAGGGCCGUUGCCCCUUUGCAGGCUGUCAGAGUGUGCGGUGCCUGAGCGGGGCAUGUAUGCAGGUCAUUUCCAGGCUGCAUAUUUACUGGCAGAGCCGAGAGUACGGGGUCCUCCUGCCCGGGCUGGUGGUCAGGGGAGCAGUUUGGUGGUCCACUCCUUCAGUGAGCGAAGAGUCCCUGUCCUGGUGGGCUGACAGCUGAGGAGGCAGAAAAGUGUGGUGGAGCUAAAUGGGGGCCUGCUGCCAAGGGAAGGGCAGGGACACAGUCGGGCUGAGAGCCGGAGGAUGAGGAGCCCGUCCUGUGAUGUGAGGAGGACACAGUGCAUGCAGAGGCCCUGAGCCCCUGAGCUGGAGGACGGAGAACAGAGGGCAAGAGAGGAGACAUGGCAAGGAAUCGAGGGGUCAGAUCUGGGAGACGAGACCCCUGAGGAAUACGCACGCAAGGGUGGGAGUCUGCUGAAGUGAGGUGAGCUGCAGAAGCGCAAGAGGCGGGUCUCAAGGCGAAGCAGCUACCCCAGAGUGCUCCCUCUGGGCUCACGUCCCCACAAAAAGGCUUCUUCCUCGGAUUUGUCACCUUGACUAUUUGUGGUCCACUUUGGACAGGAUCGAGCUUCCAGAAGUACUUCGUUUUUGCCUGAGGUGUGGGCUCAGGGAGGUGGAGAGAGAGAUGGAGGCUGUGCACCCAAGAAGCUAGUCUCAGAUGCGCCUCGAAAGCUGCUUCCUGGAGACACUUGAAGUCGUGGAGGCAUUCAGCAAGCGUCUGCCUCGGAGACGAUUAGUGCUGUACCAUGAGUGUCAACAAGGAAGGACCGUUAAGCCCAGAUGAGCCUUUUAGAUUUUUGCUGGAAGACCAGGUUCCUGUUGAUGGAGAUGAAAUAUUUGAUGAAAGGGUUACAGGAGUGUUGAAAGCAUGAGUUGCGUUUCCAUACUUCUAGUUGAUCUGGACCAGUAGUUGUCUACCUCAACCCACCUGAGGUACACAACCCAACACACCUGAGGAUGCUUUUAGCAAGAGCUCAAAUGGAUCAUCUUCCUUUACCCUCCUCAGAAUUCCACAAGGCAGGAAUUACACCCAUUGUACAGAUGAGGCACCUGGAGCUCAGAGAAAAUAAGUGACUCGUCCAAGGCUACAAAGGGAGGAGUUGGGAGUGUUGAUUCAAAAGUCUCCCUGUGAUCCACUGCGCCCUCUGGAGGCGGAUCCCUCCCAGCAGCCCAGGCCGUGCUCUGAGGGGCCUGCUCUGAGCCACCUACGCCCCUGCGCCCUCCCUACCCCACACCCAGCCCGGGGCCCCAGGCUUCAGCACUGGAGGAGGGGAAGAGAGGAUCUGGGGCUCCUUGGGAGUCUUUUUAAUUUCAGGUCUUCUCCUGAGAACAACAGAAAAAACCGUGAGUGCACCCUGGAGACCAGGCCUGCUUUUUGCAUGUUUUUCCCUGCUGCGUAAUUUCCCACAGAGCUUUUUUUCUCUCCACACUACUCCAGGGGUGUAUUUAUAGAGCGCACACAUGGCAGGUCCUGCCCUGGGCAGGAUGCAAAGUUGAAUGGGCAGUGUGCCCGAUCUCAGGGCUCUCAGAGAUAGGUGGAAAUAGUAUCAGAAAACAGGCCCUAAUACAAAUAAUAAUUGAGAUUCGAAGCGAGUGCUGUGGAAACGGACAACUGGAUUCGUUACUACUUGGAAUGGGAGGAGGCGUGGCUUUCCAGCAGAGAUGGCAUUUAAGCCAGUGUGAGAAUGGCUAGUGUGGAGCAUGGCUGAUGGGAGAUGGGAGGUGACAGAACUGCACGGUGUGAUACGGGAACACCUGGGAGUGGGUAAAUGGGCUGUGAUGGUGGGAAAGGGCUUGGAGGGUGGGAGAGGUUGGGAAUUCUCUCAGGGAGGGUCCAGGUCGCUGUCUACUGAUGAGGACAUUUCAUAACUACUAAGGGGUCUUUUCAAAGAGCUAAGAAUGAGCACUGGGCAUAUUAACUUGCUAUGAAAUGUGCCUCCUAAUUGACCAACCCCCCCAUGCUGUUCACAUAUUUGUGAGAGAAAUAUGAUUUUACAAAUUCACCAUGGAUUGGGACAAGGAGGGUGGAGGCAAGGUUUUCCCAUGUUCACUUGCAGGCAGAGUGGACUGGACGGUGGAAGGGCUUGCACAGUGCUCCCUAACGGCAGCGGGUGUGCUCUGAAAUGCCGUGUCGGGGUGCGUUUGAAAAGUACACAUCACUCUUUCGUUGUUGGGGUCUGGGCUGCUGUCAUUUGUGUCAGGAGGGCUCAGCGAGAGACGACUGAACCUGGAAUCGCCCUGAAGAGCCAUUUGCCAGUCCCUGCCCUGUCUUCUGCCCCUGGGCAUGGGCCAUUAUGGUGUUGAUGUUGGGAAGUUUCCAGAGUAAUUUGUGGGAUUCUUGGUCACCCAGAAGAAAAACGUAGUAAUGAAAUGAGCAUAGAACUUCGGGUCAGAGACCUCCUCAGUGGCCCUGCAUUGCCACUCAGGAGCCACGUGAUCUUGGACAAUUCUUUAUCUUCCCUCAGCCUCAGGCUUCAGUGUCUUCAUAUGGAAAAUGUGGCCGGGGAGCCAGCUGGUCUUGAAGAGCCUUCCAAGUGUAUGAGGCUCUGGACCGAGUCUCCCUGCCCGGUUUGCCGAAGGGUUAUUCCAUCACUUCUCAUAAGCACAGCUGUUAUUUCGGUUCUGAGGGGCUGACUCUAAAGAGAAUAGGCGCUCUACUUGAUCACAAGAAAACAGCAAAGGGAGCCCCAGAGGCCAACACAGUCAUUUGCUGGGUUCUAAUUGCCGGCGUUCUUUCUGCUGAGAACAAAGCUUUAAAGGAUGUGGACUUAGAGCCAAACACGGGCACGAGGCAUUAUUAGUCCACAGAAGGAAAGCAGGGUGGCAACCAAGAAGUCCUUCGGGGGUGACAAAGCCUGCUUUUUGGAGAGGGGCACCAAGACCCUCAAAAUUAACCACUCUAUUUAUAGCAACAGCAGCAAUACCAAGAUAACUCUGCACACUCCCAGCCUCCGCCAGCCCAACGGGAAAAUUAGCAAAAGUCAGACUCCUGAAACCGGACCACGUCACCAAAGUGCUCAAGACCCUUGAGUCGCUGCAAGGGGGAAGAAUGGCUGUCUGGGUAUCGCAUCUGAACCCUUUUCCCCAGAACACCUGUACCAAGCUGUGACUUCUCUGGGGAAGGAAGUGUGAUUUCAUCCUGUUUCCCAGGGAAGAUUUGCCCCGAGAGGAUUCCAUUGCGAACAGAAAAGAGAAGGAUGCGUUGUUCAGUGGUCACCAUCAGAAGUAGGGAUUAUGCAAAAUGGACUCUUGACCUCGCCAUUCCAAAUGAGUGGGAGACUCCACUAUUUCCGUAAAGCUUGUAUUGAGCUAAAUGGUGUGACAUGCAUGUGGCACCCUUUGUCCAAGUGAAUCCGAAAGUGUAAGCACCUCUGUGGAAGACUAGAUACUUUUUUGACAGAGAUGUCAAAUUCUGUUAACUGGUACAUUCAAUUCUCAUUAUUUGAAGAUUGUGUGUUUGCCAAUUUGCCCACUCGCAAAAAUUUAUUGGUAACCCCCAAAUCAACAUGCAUAGUCUUUUCAAGGUCAUUGACUGAUAAGAGUGGCAAAAAUUUGAGUCUUCUGACAAGUCCGUUCCCAGCCAAGGUUGAACAAGGAAACACUCUACCUUCUUGUUUCAGCUGUCAUAUUGCAAAUGUGCCUUUUUUGUGGUGUAUUUCGUGUCAUGUUUUUGCAUUUGUGUGCUUUUUGUUGGUGAUUUUGCUGUUUAAACGGCCCCCAAGUGUCGUGCUGCAGUGCUGUGCAGUGUCCCUAAGCAUGAGAAGGCAGUGAUGUGCCUUAUGGAGAAAGUAACUGUGUUACAUGAGCUUUGUUCACAUGUGAGUUAUAGUGCUCUUGGCCUUCUUCAACGUUAAUGACUCAACAAUAUAUAUUAAAUAAGGUGUCUUUACAAAGAAACACACAUAAGGCAAGAUUGGAUAUUGAUGGGUUGACAUAAAUGUUAUGAUCAGAAGCUUGCAGGAACCUAACCCUGCAUUUCCUCUAGGAGCAAUGGUGUUCUCUAAUUCAGUGUUCCCGGCAACUUUAUAGGACAUACCUAUCGCUAGAAUCAACUGUGUUUGACUCUGGGGUUUGUGCUUUGUUUUCCUGCUAAGGACCUCUUUGACAUCUUUCUCUAAUUCUCUGACUUUUAUCUGCAAUAAAGGAGAUUUUUAUUUCCACCAUUGUUCUUAUUCUGCUUGCCUGGUUUGUCUCCCGCCACCAUGCCUUCCCUCCCCAUCCACACUUAGUUUCAUCCUCCGCCCUGGCUCCUGUCCACUAGGGAGCUGUACGUCUGCACGAGCCAGGGCCCCUCUCUCUGAAAGGAGCACUUAGUGCCUCUGCAGAAGGGUUUGGCGAGGUGGCCAGAAAAAGCCAGACUGUGAGAGAAGAACUUGGACACAGUGCUCCGUUGAUCUCCCAGCAUUAGGAGAGGGCAGAUGCGGUGGGGUUUAUUUAAGGCCAUGGAAGGAAGCGGGUAAUGAAAUAAGGAGUAUAGCAGCCCCCCCUCAGGGCCUGUGGUAUCUCAAGGGUUUUCCUAACACUCUCCAAAUCAGAUACAUUUUAAUUACCUUUAAAGCAACAGCAAAAGGUUGUUCACAAAGCAAGAUCACAAGGAAUUUUAAAGGCGCUGAUUUUACAAAGUUAGCAGUUAUGACCAAUGUUUUGAAAACUUGUUCUUCUUCCAUAUGCCUCUUACCAGAUCUAAAUAUAGUAAUAUGGAAUAAGUUAGUUAUGGUGGUUAAGCAAAUGUUGAAGACAUCCCUGUUUGCUCAGUACUCCCUUAUUCCUCCUAAUCAGAAUGCAACGGUUUGGGGUUAAAUCUCUAUUCUGGUGAAAUGGGAAGCUAUGCGAUGAUUCUCCCUGUCCUUACAGCACCGUUCAUACUCUGCUUGCUUUCCUAAAACUUGCACGUGGAUAGAUAAACUAGAAACAUUCUACUUUUUAAGAAGUUCUAACCUACAUAAAAGUCCAGGAGAUACUAUAAUAUAAUGAGGUAUUCAGCACUCAGCUUUAACAGAUACUGUUUUUUUCUCUAUUCCCUUCAGAUCUUUUAAAGAAAUAAAAUGUUAGAUAUAGUUGAAGUUCUCUUUUGUACCUCUUCUUAUCCUAUUUCUUCCUUCCCAAGAGGAGGCCAUCAUUCUGAAGUCAGUGUGUAUCAUUUAUGUCCAUUUUAUGUUUCAUUAUGUAGAAGCAGCUGUAAUUUAUCAUACUGUUUUGUGGAUUUUUAAUGAACUAAACAGAUUCAUGGUCUGGAGGCCUCAGCCACGUGGCUUUUUUCAUUCAACACUAUCAUUUUGAGCUCUCUCAUGUAGAUCUAGUACAUUGAUCUCCGCUGCCCAUAGGGUGCCAGCGAUGACUACAUUGCCUUGUCCACUUGCCUCUUAAUGGGCAAGUCCAAGUUUACAGUGUUUUGAGUGACCCUGCAGUGAACUUCCUGGCCAAUAUCUCCUGGGGCAUACAUGUGAGUAUUUCACCAGACGUUGAAUUGCUGGCUCAUUGGGUAUUUUCAUUUUCAUCUUUCCUAGUUCUUGACAAAUUUCUCUUGUGAGUCUUUACCAAUUUACACACCCAGCAGCAAGAUUUGAGAGUUCCUGUUUUCAAAUACCUCCCAAUAAAUGGUAAUACCGUGCUUUUUUUCUUAAAAAGAAAUUUUGCUGAUCUAAUGAGUGUCAAAGAGAUACCUCUUUUUUAAACUUGUAUUUUCUCUCUUAAUAAUAAACGUGAGCUUAUUUUCGUG